rnacentral:lncRNA from 1 species
GUACUAAUGUCUAUGACUGCUAAUUUAUACAUACAGUAGAAGGCAAUAAAAACUUCGCGUUCCGUUUAUGUUGAACGGCGAUUAAACUGUAGCGCCGUUUCCGUUUUUAUUGUGGUUAUUCCGUUCAUGGUCCGUUGGGUCUGGGCACUACCGUUUUUGUUUUCAUGAGCAACGCUCCAAGCGUUGCUCGACUUUUCUCUUUUCUAACAGUUUCUUCAGGAGUCAGGCUUUCUUAGAUACACUUACAGAAUGACUACGAGCCAUGGUUGAUGAUAAAACGAGACAGGACGACAGGUAGUCACAAGAAAGAGUGCUCUGUCAAGCAAAGAAGCAGCUAUUAUAUUAUUAUCAUUUAUAAAAUAAAAUCAUGUAAUUAUAGACCUGCUAG